GGAAACUGCCUGGGUCUCUCGUCUCUCACAGUGACCAAAGUAGCGUGCGCCCAUUUCUAACUGAUUCAUAUUUAAGAAAAUGUCUUCUUAUUGACUUGGACGUCAUCGAGUUUAUUGCAUUGUUUUAUUGUGGAUUCUACUUGACCACUCCAUUGUUGAAAGAUCUGCUCCUGGCUUUCCUGAGUGUCAGACUGCUGAGACAUGGUAGGGAUGUGGCCACCUAUUGUAAUGUGAUGGUGAAGAUUAAAAGGAUUUGUCGGGAAAAGUGUGCUUUGGUGUACAUUCACUUUAUGCCAAAAGAGAUUGAUUACAG
ensembl:lncRNA